AUUUACUUUUUCGAAACUCCUUUGUCUAUGAAGUUAUUCAAAUUGUUGCUGUACCAUUUUUACUACAGCCCAUUCCAAUUUAUGUUAUGGGUAGGAGUUGACACACAAAAAAAACAAUUUCAAUCCAGGACCAGAAUACCGACUAAGUUUUUGUUUCACUAACUUCUCCGUAGCUUUGUCCCUGAUUUGCUUGUUGCCUAUGCGUGUUUGUAUGUUCGUCUCUUUUAUCGCCAUUAUCACGACGGGCAGGCAGACAACCUGGUAGGUAGUGCAGAAGGAUUCCAGAAGGAAUAGACUACAAGAGAAUGGCGGCUAUGGCAGAAGACGUCAGUUUCCCAUGAUGCCAUAACGUCGAUGGUUCCCAUCAGUCGACCAACGAAGAGCCUGGUUCGCUGUCGGUUUCACUGCGCACUCUCGUUCGGCAGAGGCUGUAAGCAGUGCUGCUACGGAUGCAGUCCUUGUGCCAGAAGAGAAGCGGCGGCGACAAGCGAAAAGCUGUUUGAUGCACCAUCAGAGUCGUGGAACAACGACGUCACCAGGCAAGCAUUCAGCUUUUGCCAAGCAGUGAAAAUGAGCAGAAGCUCGAAGUUGGUGAAUGAAAAAAGAGACAAAAUGAUGAUGACGACGUGCCCUGGGAUGCACCUUAAAGCAGCAGUAGCGGCAGUAGAAGUAGCUAAAAAAAGGCGAAUUCAACCGGCUACCCCCGUGCGAAUAGGGGCCCUCCGGAUAUCUCUAAGCUAGUCUGAGCAGCAGCUGUAGUAGUAGCGAGAUUAUCCGCAACCUAAUAUACGACUGUCCUAUGAAAGCGAAUAUGUCAGUGGGAAAGCACAUAUGCGCCAGCAGAAGCGGCACUAAGCGGCUGAAAGUUGUUUGCAUACAAUCGAGCGACAUUAAGUGAGUCUGAUACCUAGCCAGUCUCUUGCGGAGGAACGUCCAGAACCGAAGUCGUCAUACUCACAGCAUUUCCGCCUAUUUUUCGUUCAUGUUACGACCGCUUCAAUCUCGAGCGCAGCGACUUGGUCUCCUCAAACCAGCCACGAUCUUGGUCAAAGGCGACCCUAACUUUACCGAUGCCGAUUCAGCAGCUCCCGGUUGCUUCAAUUAAAUGUUACUUCUUGGAAUACUGCGUACUAGUUUCAAGCUGAUCGAUACGCCGAUUCCUGCACAAAUCUAAAAAGCAGCGCAACAAACCGAUAACAUUUUGAUAAAUUUAUCUGAUGCGGUGCAAAGACCGAUUCGAUAAAUGAUACAAAGGAUGAACAGUUCCUACGCUUCUUCAUCCUCUAUAGCUAUUAGCUUUUGCCGGAGAACGAAAACCGUUACGUGUCGUAUUU